rnacentral:rRNA from 1 species
AUUGAACGCUGGCGGCAGGCUUAACACAUGCAAGUCGAGCGAGCGGCGGACGGGUGAGUAAUGUCUGGGAAACUGCCUGAUGGAGGGGGAUAACUACUGGAAACGGUAGCUAAUACCGCAUACCAUCAGAUGUGCCCAGAUGGGAUUAGGUAGUAGGUGGGGUAAUGGCUCACCUAGGCGACGAUCCCUAGCUGGUCUGAGAGGAUGACCAGCCACACUGGGACUGAGACACGGUCCAGACUCCUACGGGAGGCAGCAGUGGGGAAUAUUGCGCAAUGGGCGCAAGCCUGAUACAGCCAUGCCGCGUGUGUGAAGAAGGCCUUCGGGUUGUAAAGCACUUUCAGUAGGGAGGCGUUACCUACAGAAGAAGCACCGGCUAACUCCGUGCCAGCAGCCGCGGUAAUUC